CACGUAGGGGCCAAGCGUUGUCCGGAGUUACUGGGCGUAAAGCGCGCGCAGGCGGCCCAGUGGGCCUGGCGUGAAAGGGUGCCGCUCAACGGUGCCAGGGCGUCGGGGACCGCUGGGCUUGAGGGCGGGAGGGGCUGGUGGAAUCCCUGGUGUAGUGGUGAAAUGCGUAGAGAUCAGGGGGAACACCCGUGGCGAAGGCGGCCAGCUGGGCCGACCCUGACGCUGAGACGCGAAAGCGUGGGGAGCGAACAGGAUUAGAUACCCUGGUAGUCCACGCCGUAAACGAUGGGUGCUAGGUGUGGGAGGUGUCGACUCCUUCCGUGCCGUAGCUAACGCAUUAAGCACCCCGCCUGGGGAGUACGGCCGCAAGGCUAAA
rnacentral:rRNA from 1 species